rnacentral:lncRNA from 1 species
UUUUGAGUAUACUUUGAGUAUUGCUAUACGGUGCAAGUUCAAGUUAUAACCUAUAUCCAGUAUUCCAGUUAGAAGUACUGUCUUUCCGAGGUAAGGGAUAUUAUUUUUUUAAUGAUAUUAUUUAUUCUAAUAUCAUUAUGCCGAAGUAUUGAUCUGAACUUUUUAAUCAAAUUUAGAACUUUUAGUGUCGGGGUUACUAUUCACGUAUACAACACUAUUCACGUAUACGGUACUAUUCACGAAU